rnacentral:rRNA from 1 species
AUUGAACGCUGGCGGCAGGCUUAACACAUGCAAGUCGAACGAGUGGCGGACGGGUGAGUAAUGCUUGGGAAUCUAGCUUAUGGAGGGGGAUAACUACGGGAAACUGUAGCUAAUAACGCGUACCCUAGGAUGAGCCCAAGAGGGAUUAGGUAGUUGGUGGGGUAAAGGCUCACCAAGCAGACGAUCUCUAGCUGGUCUGAGAGGAUGACCGGCCCCACUGGAACGGGGACACGGUCCAGACUCCUACGGGAGGCAGCAGUGGGGAAUAUUGCACAUUGGGCGCAAGCCUGAUGCAGCCAUGCCGCGUGUAUGAAUAGGGCCUUCGGGUUGUAAAGUACUUUCAGCGAGGAGGCGUUACCCGCAGAAGAAGCACCGGCUAACUCCGUGCCAGCCGCCGCGGUAAUUC